rnacentral:rRNA from 1 species
CAGGAUUAGAUACCCUGGUAGUCCACGCAGUAAACGAUGAAUGUUAGUCGUCGGGUAGCUAGUCUAUUCGGUGAUGCAGCUAACGCAUUAAACAUUCCGCCUGGGGAGUACGUUCGCAAGAUUAAAACUCAAAGGAAUAGACGGGGACCCGCACAGGUGGUGGAGCAUGUGGUUUAAUUCGAAGAUACGCGAAGAACCUUACCUAGCCUUGACAUAUUUUAGAAUCUUUCAGAGAUGAGAGAGUGCCUUCGGGAGCUAAUAUACAGGUGCUGCACGGCUGUCGUCAGCUCGUGUCGUGAGAUGUUGGGUUAAGUCCCGCAACGAGCGCAACCCUCGUCACUAGUUACUAACGGUUCGGCCGAGGACUCUAGUGAGACUGCCUUCGCAAGGAGGAGGAAGGUGAGGACGACGUCAAGUCAUCAUGGCCCUUACGGCUAGGGCAACACACGUGCUACAAUGGUUAGGACAAUGAGACGCAAUACCGCGAGGUGGAGCAAAUCUAUAAACCUAAUCUCAGUUCGGAUUGUUCUCUGCAACUCGAGAACAUGAAGCUGGAAUCACUAGUAAUCGUAGAUCAGCUAUGCUACGGUGAAUACGUUCCCGGGUCUUGUACUCACCGCCCGUCACACCAUGGGAGUUGAUUUCACCCGAAGCGGGGAAGCUAAACUGGCUACCCUCCACGGUGGAAUUAGCGACUGGGGUGAAGUCGUAACAAGGUAGCCGUA